rnacentral:rRNA from 1 species
CCUACGGGUGGCUGCAGUGGGGAAUAUUGCACAAUGGGGGAAACCCUGAUGCAGCAACGCCGCGUGAGCGAUGAAAGCCUUCGGGUCGUAAAGCCCUGUCCUAAGGGAAGAAUACUGACGGUACCUUAGGAGGAAGCCCCGGCUAACUACGUGCAAGCAGCCGCGGUAAUACGUAGGGGGCUAGCGUUAUCCGGAAUGACUGGGCGUAAAGGGUGCGUAGGGGGCCCUUCAAGUCAGAGGUGAAAGGCUACGGCUCAACCGUAGUAAGUCUUUGAAACUGUAGGGCUUGAGUACAGGAGGGGAGCGUGGAAUUCCAAGGGUAGCGGUGAAAUGGGUAGAUAUUGGGAGUGACACGAGUUGCGAAGGAGGCUCUCUGGACUGUAACUGACGAUGAGGGACGAGAGCGUGGGGAGCGAACAGGAUUAGAUACCCGAGUAGAC